rnacentral:rRNA from 1 species
AGUGAACGCUGGCGGUAGGCCUAACACAUGCGAGUCGAACGGCAGCACAGUAAGAGCUUGCUCUUACGGGUGGCGAGUGGCGGACGGGUGAGGAAUACAUCGGAAUCUACUUUUUCGUGGGGGAUAACGUAGGGAAACUUACGCUAAUACCGCAUACGACCUACGGGUGAAAGCAGGGGAUCUUCGGACCUUGCGCGAUUGAAUGAGCCGAUGUCGGAUUAGCUAGUUGGCGGGGUAAAGGCCCACCAAGGCGACGAUCCGUAGCUGGUCUGAGAGGAUGAUCAGCCACACUGGAACUGAGACACGGUCCAGACUCCUACGGGAGGCAGCAGUGGGGAAUAUUGGACAAUGGGCGCAAGCCUGAUCCAGCCAUAUCGCGUGGGUGAAGAAGGCCUUCGGGUUGUAAAGCCCUUUUGUUGGGAAAGAAAAGCAGCAGGUUAAUACCCUGCUGUUCUGACGGUACCCAAAGAAUAAGCACCGGCUAACUUCGUG